UUGAUCUGAAAUCAGGUGGGAUUACC
rnacentral:rRNA from 1 species